rnacentral:rRNA from 1 species
UGCCCAAGAGACUGGGAUAACACCUGGAAACAGAUGCUAAUACCGGAUAACAACACUAGACGCAUGUCUAGAGUUUAAAAGAUGGUUCUGCUAUCACUCUUGGAUGGACCUGCGGUGCAUUAGCUAGUUGGUAAGGUAACGGCUUACCAAGGCAAUGAUGCAUAGCCGAGUUGAGAGACUGAUCGGCCACAUUGGGACUGAGACACGGCCCAA